rnacentral:lncRNA from 1 species
CAAAUACAACUUACCUGUGAGCAGAGAGAGUAUUCGUUAACCCCUUUGAGCUUAAACAGUUGAAUCUCAGCUUGAAAUAAAGCGAGAUUUCAAAAAUCUUUUUUUUUACAACCCGGAAAAUCUUGAUUAUUGUUCUUUUGCCGUAAAAAGUUAAGAGCAUUCACUUAGGGUGAGUAAGAAAUAAGUUGGGGAGAACGGAAAUGAGAAUCAGUAAGUGCCACAACUCUUGAAAAACCGAGCAAGCAUUGAAAAUAAAAAUUAGAAAAGAAAAACAUCUGUUUUGUAAAUAUGAUGUGAAAGAAAAAAAAAAUAUAAUAUAGAGAAAAUAAAAAUGAAUGCUUGCUUGGAAGAAAAAAUAGUGAAAAACAAAAAUUGAGUUGUGAAAUAAGAGUUGUGAAGGUUUCAAAUGAGAAACAAAUGGAACGAAGUUGAGAUGUGUGAAUAAUGUACAGUGAAUGUCUCUUUUGCACCGGCAAUUUCGUUUUCAAUGGCCUUAGAAAUGACCCUUGUUUGUUAACCUACCCAAGCUUCAACCGAAAAGUCCUUAGUGAUCUUCGUG